rnacentral:rRNA from 1 species
AGCAGCCGCGGUAAUUCCAGCUCCAAUAGCGUAUAUUAAAGUUGUUGCAGUUAAAAAGCUGCGUAGUUGAAUUUCGGGAUUAGUACGUUGGUCGUGCCUUCGGUACGUACUGGUGUUACUGAUUCCUACCUUCUGACGAACCAUCAUGUCAUUAAUUUGGUGUGGCGGGGAAUCAGGACUGUUACUUUGAAAAAAUUAGAGUGUUUAAAGCAGGCUCGCGCUUGAAUACAUUAGCAUGGAAUAAUGAAAUAGGACGUUGACCCUAUUUUGUUGGUUUCUAGGAUUGACGUAAUGAUUAAUAGGGAUAGUUGGGGGCAUUAGUAUUCAAUUGUCAGAGGUGAAAUUCUUGGAUUUAUUGAAGACUAACUACUGCGAAAGCAUUUGCCAAGGAUGUUUUCAUUAAUCAAGAACGAAAGUUAGGGGAUCGAAGACGAUCAGAUACCGUCGUAGUCUUAACCAUAAACUAUGCCGACUAGGGAUCGGAUGAUGUUAUUUUUAAUGACUCA